CAAGUCGGAUGUGAAAUCCCCGGGCUCAACCUGGGAACUGCAUUCGAAACUGGCAGGCUUGAGUCUUGUAGAGGGGGGUAGAAUUCCAGGUGUAGCGGUGAAAUGCGUAGAGAUCUGGAGGAAUACCGGUGGCGAAGGCGGCCCCCUGGACAAAGACUGACGCUCAGGUGCGAAAGCGUGGGGAGCAAACAGGAUUAGAUACCCUGGUAGUCCACGCCGUAAACGAUGUCUACUUGGAGGUUGUGCCCUUGAGGCGUGGCUUCCGGAGCUAACGCGUUAAGUAGACCGCCUGGGGAGUACGGCCGCAAGGUUAAAACUCAAAUGAAUUGACGGGGGCCCGCACAAGCGGUGGAGCAUGUGGUUUAAUUCGAUGCAACGCGAAGAACCUUACCUGGUCUUGACAUCCACAGAAGAAUCCAGAGAUGGAUUUGUGCCUUCGGGAACUGUGAGACAGGUGCUGCAUGGCUGUCGUCAGCUCGUGUUGUGAAAUGUUGGGUUAAGUCCCGCAACGAGCGCAAC
rnacentral:rRNA from 1 species